GGCUUGCAACGACAAAAAAGCUCAAGGCAGGAACAGCAGCCCAGGGACCUGAGACCAGCGUUCUCAAAUGAAGGUGAUCUGCUGUUAGAGGAGAAUUCUUCUGUCCUAGCUGUGUCUCUGUGAUCUGUGGAUGAGGGUGGGAAAGCACCACUCAGUCAAUUGGGGUGUACAAAAUGGAGUUUGAGAAGGUCUCACAUCCAGGUUGUUUUGAAGCAAAGUCCAAGCAUUGUAUCACUUCAUCUGCAAAUAUUUCAAUAAGUACCCAAAAGUGGUUGGACUGAGUCCCAUGAAGCCAGAUCACUUCUGACUGCAAGGAGCUUGGAAAAGCAAGUAUCUGGAUCUUUUACCAGCUAAAUUUGGAGGUCUGGAGAAGGAAAUGUACUGUUAUGACUAUAAAGACAUCCUGCUGAAUAUCCUGAUGCUUGGGAAAGUAAAACUCAAUAUAGAAAAAGCAUCACUAAUCAAAUCUACAAGAACUAUAAAAUGAGAAAAGAUUGAUGAAUAUUAAGUAGAAGAGUGAGAUGGUCAUCUUUGCAUUUAAAAAAGAUCAUUUGCUGUUGCUGUAUGGAAAAUGAAUUGGAGCAGGAAUUAUUGAUCAAAUUUGGAUCUCUGUGUGCUGUCCUCCAAUUUAAUACUUUCUGUGUUGCUGUUUUAUUUUCUUUCUUCUGGAACCUGGCAAAGUGCGUCAAGCGAUGAGGCUUCCUCUUUGAAGAUCACAGGUGAGAAGAUUAGGUGCUUUCUCAGAAGCCCAGCAACCUGAUGGGAGUGUGGAGUGAGCAAGACCCAAAUCGGAGCUUCAUCCCUGCAUGGUUCAUUUUGCUUAUUUGGCAAACUUGCCCUGCAGAAUCUACUCAAGCUUCCUCAGUUUCUCAAAUCAUUCUUGGGCAACAAAUGAACAAGAAAGAGGACGUCUUAUUAUCUGGUGUCUGGCUUGCUGAUUUAAUAACCUAGGAGACAGUGUUUGAAGAACACAAACUCUAAAGUCCUUCACUUAAAAAAAAAAAAAAACUUUCCCAAAUUGCUUACCAUUUGGAAAAAUUGCCUUACCUUCUUCAGUCAUCUCUGAUGUUGUCAUCCUCAGAGUAAGAAGUACGCAUUCAUAAGGAACCAUAACGUCCUUCAGGAAAUCCAGUACACCCUACAAUUUUACCUAAAACUUUGAUGUUGUUUUUUCUGAGCAUUUUACCUUCUAGGGAAAUGGAUCUCAUGCUGUUUAUCAGUUUCUGAAAGUUGUUAUUAAUCUCCCCUCAUCCCAAAAUUGAAGAACUUUGCUUAAAUCUUAGAAUCAGAACUUUGGCUCCAGUAAUAAAGACUUUUCAAUAUCUUUAUCUGCCAUUGAGUCUUACCUAACGAAAUAAAGCCUCCAAAGUGGGAA
rnacentral:lncRNA from 1 species